GGAUGCGAUCAUACCAGCACUAAAGCACCGGAUCCCAUCAGAACUUCGAAGUUAAGCGUGCUUGGGCGAGAGUAGUACUUGGAUGGGUGACCUCCUGGGAAGUCCUCGUGUUGCAUUCC
rnacentral:rRNA from 1 species